rnacentral:rRNA from 1 species
GAUGAACGCUGGCGGCGUGCCUAAUACAUGCAAGUCGAGCGAACGGACGAGAAGCUUGCUUCUCUGAUGUUAGCGGCGGACGGGUGAGUAACACGUGGAUAACCUACCUAUAAGACUGGGAUAACUUCGGGAAACCGGAGCUAAUACCGGAUAAUAUUUUGAACUGCAAGGUUCAAAAGUGAAAGACGGUCCUGCUGUCACUUAUAGAUGGAUCAGCGCUGCAGUAGCUAGUUGGUAAGGUAACGGCUUACCAAGGCAACGAUGCAUAGCAGACCUGAGAGUGUGAUCGUCCGCACUGGAACCGAGACACGUUCCAGACUCCUACGAGAGGCAGCGGUAGGGAAUCUUGCGCAAUGGUCGAAAGCCUGACGUAGCAACGCCACGUGAGUGAUGAAGGUCCUCGGAUCUUAAAGCUCUGUUAUUAGGGAAGAACAUAUGUGUAAGUAACUGUGCACAUCAUGACGGUACCUAAUCAGAAAGCCACGGCUAACUACGUG